rnacentral:rRNA from 1 species
GAUGAACGCUGGCGGCGUGCCUAAUACAUGCAAGUCGAGCGAACAGACGAGGAGCUUGCUCCUCUGACGUUAGCGGCUGACGGGUGAGUAACACGUGGAUAACCUACCUAUAAGACUUGGAUAACUUCGGGAAACCGGAUCUACUACCGGAUAAUAUAUUGAACCGCAUGGUUCAAUAGUUCAAGACGGUUUUGCUGUCACUUAUAGCUGGAUCCGCGCCGCAUUAGCUAGUUGGUAAGGUACCGGCUUACCAAGGCAAAGAUGCGUAGCCGACCUGAGAGGGUGAUCGGCCACACUGGAACUGAGACACGGUCCAGACUCCUACGGGAGGCAGCAGUAGGGAAUAUUCCGCAAUGGGCGAAAGCUUGACGGAGCAACGCCGCGUGAGUGAAGAAGGUCUUCGGAUUGUAAAACUCUGUUAUUAGGGAAGAAAAAAUGUGGAAGUAACUAUGCACGUCUUGACGGUACCUAAUCAGAAAGCCACGGCUAACUACGUG